rnacentral:miRNA from 1 species
UAAAUGCGAGCAGUAGUAGGCGUC